CAUGUGACGAUGAUGGGGAGUAGUAGCAAGGCAACCCUUUUCAAGAGAGUCGGCGGGUGGUGCGAGCCGAUAGAGGGAAUUGUGAAUCCGUCCCUGAGUAGCCGGGCUGAAGAGGAGUAGGCCCGUGCCGGUAUUUGAACCGUUAUUUCAAUGAAGCGGAUUGGAUGGAGUCCAAUCAAUUUGGGUGGCAACGCGGGUAGCUCUCGUCCCUUUU
rnacentral:ncRNA from 1 species